rnacentral:lncRNA from 1 species
UUCCUUCUGGCUCACGGCCAAUGUACUACACAAAAUCCAUUAUUUUAAGGAUUGCUAAUGAUACAAACUAAGUGAUCCCAAAAGAUGGAACUGUUUGUGUAGUUUUCAUUCAAUUUGGCAAAAAAAAAAAAAAAAUGAGUCUGGGAUCUCAUUUGCUUUACAUUUAUUUGUGGGAAAUAUCUCAUUCUGGAUUUUUCAGAUCAGGUUGAAGAAUGCGUAAACACAUACCUGUUGAAAAACAAACAAAAAAAACAUUAAUAAAGGAAUACCAAUGUAUUUUAGUCUUUCCAUCAGAAUUUCUAUUUCAUCAUAAUCAAGUGUGAUUGUCCAAUGUUUGUAUCAGGUUUAAUCUCAGUAAAUUUUCUAACAUUCUAAGAUUAGGAAGACUUAAUCAAUUGCUAACUAUAACUUUAAAAUAGUUCUUAAAGUACUAAUCCUAUAUAUUUUCUUCAUGGAACAUCCUGUUUCUUUUCAGAGAGCACUGUGAAGCUCAUGGAAUCUUUAUUUAUCAGUUACAAGUCUAGUGACUGACAACUUAGAUUUAACUAGCAUCUCCAAGGAGUGAAAGAGUCCCUAAAAUGGAAAUGAAUUCUGCUGAUAUUUGAUGGGAAAAAAGGGAUGAUGGACAGAAGAAACCAGGAAGCUAACCUGAAACAUAUACUAAAGAAAGGAAGAUGUAAGAGAAAGCACCAAAGGGCUGGAUAACAGAAAUGGAAAUCCGGGAUUGCAGCCAGUGGACUUUUGUGCCGAAAGCCUUUCUAGCCUUCACAUCCACAAUGAUGAGAUUUCUAAGAUGAGGGAAACCCACAGAAAGGAUCUGAGUCAUCAUUUCUGGCCUUACAUUGAAGAGAUUUUUAGUGCAAACACAGGUACAAAUGGGACCACUUGAAUGACUGAGGAAACACCAGAACACUGGAAGAAAGGUUAUGGGAACUGAAAACAUCUUUGUCAGCAGGUUAUCAAGACCUGGCACGUUUCCAUGCAGCUUCUCAAUACCUCUGGGAUUAGCAGGAUAGCCUGUUCAAAAGACUCCAGCCAUCAGGAGGCAGCGAUAAGAAGGUGAGAACAUGACUGAAGCUUUAUGACACCCGGAUAAGAAGUAAAACAGUGAGCAGAUGACAACGACUCAUAGAAGUGGGAUGCGCAAGAGAGGUGAAACUUCCUAAUCACUGUCAGCUCUGAGUAGAAAAGACAUUCAAAGCCAGAAAUGAUUAUCAACCUCAGGAGGCACGUAAAAAUACAGUAGCCACUGUCUCUCCUCUGAAGCUUAGCUGCCGUGAUCAGUUGGACAUAUGUUCUCUGGUGUGAGAGACUGUGAGUAAAAGCAGUUUUCUUUUAAAACAAAACUACCUUCAGUUCCAGAGAGUUGCAGCUGGAGCUUUGCUGUGCUGUAUCUACAGCAUUGUCUUACUCGAUUGUGAGAUGUUGAAGGCCAAAGUUAGAAUCCUCAACAACCUCUUUGUUCUGACCCCGAAGCAUGUAAAAUGCCUGGAUGCCUCCAUUUAAGACAUUGUAAAGCCUACUUCUGCCUGGCACAGAGGUC